rnacentral:rRNA from 1 species
ACACUCCUGCGGGAGGCAGCAGUGGGGAAUUUUGGACAAUGGGCGCAAGCCUGAUCCAGCCAUGCCGCGUGCGGGAAGAAGGCCUUCGGGUUGUAAACCGCUUUUGUCAGGGAAGAAAAGGUUCUGGCUAAUACCUGGGACUCAUGACGGUACCUGAAGAAUAAGCACCGGCUAACUACGUGCCAGCAGCCGCGGUAAUACGUAGGGUGCAAGCGUUAAUCGGAAUUACUGGGCGUAAAGCGUGCGCAGGCGGUUAUGCAAGACAGAGGUGAAAUCCCCGGGCUCAACCUGGGAACUGCCUUUGUGACUGCAUGGCUAGAGUACGGUAGAGGGGGAUGGAAUUCCGCGUGUAGCAGUGAAAUGCGUAGAUAUGCGGAGGAACACCGAUGGCAAAGGCAAUCCCCUGGACCUGUACUGACGCUCAUGCACGAAAGCGUGGGGAGCAAACAGUAUUAGAACCCCCGGUAGUCCC